rnacentral:rRNA from 1 species
UCAGCCAUAAACCAAGACAGUAAACUCACACCACUGUCCGCCAGAGAAUUACCAGCAAAAAGCUUAAAACUCAAAGGACUUGACGGUGUCCCACACCAACCUAGAGGGGCCUGUCCUAUAAUCGAUAACCCACGCUUCACCCGCCCCGCUCUUGCCUCACAGUCUAUAUACCGCCGUCUUCAACCUGCCUAUUGAUAGAUACCUAACACGUACAACUGGCCCCCCCCAAACACGUCAGGUCAAGGUGUAGCUAACGAGCCGGAAGAGAUGGGCCACAUUUUCUUCAUACCAAGAAAACACCACAGGCGCCAUGAAACCCCGCCAAAAAGGCGGAUUUAGUAGUAAGCCUGGAAUAGACCAAGCCAGACUGAAACAUGCUCUGGGACG